AAACUUUCAACAAUGGAUCUCUUGGCUCUCGCAUCGAUGAAGUACGCAGCGAAAUGCGAUUAGUAAUGUGAAUUGCAGAAUUCCGUGAAUCAUCAAAUUUUGAACGCAAAUUGCAC
rnacentral:rRNA from 1 species